rnacentral:lncRNA from 1 species
CUGCUUCCCAUUAUAAAGUAACUUGGUUGCUGUGUAUCUGAAGUUAUGCUAGUAGACAAUGCAAUUUUCUAUGCCUUAAAUUGCAAAAUGGUCUUGGGUUGGCCCUUGUUUUGCAUCUGCCAGAACUAUUUGGCUAAAGCAUCUGCCAGCAUUUCGUCUCCCAGUAAAACAUUUACACAAGAAUUUGUCCUCUUCUUUUGUUGACAGUUCAGGGUUUGAGAGCAUUAACUCCUAAUUCAGAGAACUCCAGAAUUUCAUAUGGUUCUGCAGUCCUCUUUAGUUCUCAGUGCUCAUUUCAGAUAUUGCCCAUCACGAAUCAAUCAGGAUGCAUAAGCUGCUGCUUCUCGGCCUCUCUGCUUUGCUCUUCUGCACUAUUGCUCAUGGCAUUGUAUGCAACGUCUGUAGUGGUGGAAACGGCAAGCUUUGCUAUUCCAAAGUAGAGUUGUGCAAGACUGACACUGGGAAAUGUUACACGUAUGCAAGCUACCUUGACAAGGAGCUCUAUUACGUCAGUUACGAUUGCCUCCAUCAUGACUAUUUGAUAUGGUAUUGCAAUAAAACUGAAAAGGACGAAAGAUACACCCAUGUUGCGACUUGCUGUGAGACUGAUAAAUGCAAUGGAGAAAUACCCCGUCUGCCUUGGAGCUGAAAUUAAAUGAUUGAAAAGAUCCAGAGAGGGUUGUAAGCUGGCUCUUCUCAAAGAAAAGGACUGCAAACUCACUCUGCUCCCCUUUCUUCAACAUUUGAAUUUUUAAAAAAUUUAACAGAUUGGUCAGAUGUGUGGUGUAGAAAUGGAAUCAAUCAAUCAAUUGAUCGAUCAAUCAAUCAAUCAAAUUGAUGCAAAAACACAAUUUUGAGAUGAAAUUAAAACAAUGAAGGCUUUUGCAUUGGUAAUAAGAGCCACUGUUGAAUCAGGUUUUUCUUAAAUAAAAAUGGUUUUAAAAACA